rnacentral:rRNA from 1 species
AGGGCGUAUGGGGAAUGCCUAGGCACACUCCGGCGAAGAAGGACGCAGCAAACAGCGAAAUGCGACGGUGAGCGGUAAGCACGUGAAGAGCCGUCGAUAUCCGAAUGGGGGAACCCACACGGAGUCAUAUCCGUGUAUCACAUGUCGAAUACAUAGACAUGAUGAGGCGAGACGCAGGGAACUGAAACAUCUAAGUACCUGCAGGAAGAGAAAAUAAGAAUGAUUUUCUGAGUAGCGGCGAGCGAAAGGGAAAGAGCCCAAACCGAUCUGAGGAUCGGGGUAGUAGGAUCAUCGAUAAAUCAAACAGAGGAUCAUAGAGGAAUCACAUGGGAAGGUGAGCGAGAGAGGGUGAGAGCCCCGUACUCGAAAUGAGAGACUGGAGAGAGAUGACACCUGAGUAGGGCGGGACACGAGAAAUCCUGUCUGAAUCAGCCGGGACCAUCCGGCAAGGCUAAAUACGAGAGAGUGACCGAUAGUGAACCAGUACCGUGAGGGAAAGGUGAAAAGAACCCCGGGAGGGGAGUGAAAGAGAACCUGAAACCAUAUGCCUACAAGAAGUCAGAGCCCGUUAAAGGGUGAUGGCGUGCCUUUUGUAGAAUGAACCGGCGAGUUACUGUAUGGAGCGAGGUUAAGCAGGAUAUGCGGAGCCGAAGCGAAAGCGAGUCUUAAGAGGGCGCGAGUUGCAUGCAGUAGACCCGAAACCGGGUGAUCUAGCCAUGACCAGGUUGAAGUUGGGGUAAAACCCGAUGGAGGACCGAACCGACCCCCGUUGAAACGUUGGCGGAUGAGUUGUGGCUAGGGGUGAAAUUCCAAUCGAACCCGGAGAUAGCUGGUUCUCCCCGAAAUAGCUUUAGGGCUAGCGUCGAGAGAAGAGUUGCGUGAAGGUAGAGCACUGAAUAUGUGAUGGCCCCAUCUCGGGGUACUGAGCAUAAUCAAACUGCGAAUGUCACGCCAACAUGCUCGGCAGUCAGACAGCGGGUGAUAAGGUCCGUUGUCAAGAGGGAAACAGCCCAGACCAUCAGCUAAGGUCCCAAAAUGUAUGCUAAGUGGAAAAGGAUGUGGAGAUGUACAGACAACUAGGAGGUUGGCUCAGAAGCAGCCAUCCUUUAAAGAGUGCGUAACAGCUCACUAGUCGAAUGACUCUGCGCCGAUAAUUUACCGGGGCUAAGCAUACUACCGAAGCUAUGGAUCCCAAGGGAUGGUAGGGGAGCGUUCCAUGAACGGAGAAGUACGACCGAAAGGACGUGUGGAGAUCAUGGAAGAGAGAAUGCCGGUGUGAGUAGCGGAACGUGGGUGAGAAUCCCACGCACCGAAAACCCAAGGUUUCCAGAGGAAGGUUCGUCCGCUCUGGGUAAGUCGGGACCUAAGGCGAGGCCGAAAGGCGUAGUCGAUGGACAACAGGUAGAGAUUCCUGUACCCGUAUAUAUGUGAAGGAAUGACGGAGAGAGGAAGCUGCAGCCAGCGGCUGGAAGAGCUGGUGCAAGCGAGAUAUCGGGAUGGCAGGCAAAUCCACCAUCCGAAACGAGAAGGCGUGAAGCGUACGGAAAGCUACGGCGAGUACGGAAGGCAGUGGAGGAACUUCCAAGAAAAGUUUCUAACGUUAAGUAUAUAUGGCCCGUACCGAAAAUGGACACACAUGGGUGAGGAGAGAAUCCUAAGGUGAGCGAGAGAACUAUAGCUAAGGAACUCUGCAAAAUGACUCCGUAACUUAGGGAGAAGGAGUGCUCAUAGAGAUAUGAGCCGCAGUGAAACGGCCCAAGCGACUGUUUACCAAAAACACAGCUCUCUGCUAAGCCGCAAGGCGAAGUAUAGGGGGUGACGCCUGCCCGGUGCUGGAAGGUUAAGGGGAGGGGUUAACGCAAGUGAAGCCCUGAACUGAAGCCCCAGUAAACGGCGGCCGUAACUAUAACGGUCCUAAGGUAGCGAAAUUCCUUGUCAGGUAAGUUCUGACCCGCACGAAAGGCGUAACGAUUUGGGCGCUGUCUCAGCUGUAGACUCGGUGAAGUCUUAGUACCUGUGAAGAUGCAGGUUACCCGCGACUAGACGGAAAGACCCCAUGGAGCUUCACUGCAGGUUGAUAUUGGGAUUUGAUGCAGCAUGUACAGGAUAGGUAGGAGGCAAAGAGAUGGAUACGCCAGUAUUCAAGGAGCCGCUGUUGGGAUACUACCCCUGUUGUAUUGGAUUUCUAACCGGACGACGUAGAGCCGUUGACGGGACAGUGUCAGUCGGGCAGUUUGACUGGGGCGGUCGCCUCCCAAAGAGUAACGGAGGCGCCCAAAGAUACCCUCAGCUUGGAUGGAAACCAAGCGCAGAGUGCAAAGGCAAAAGGGUGUUUGACUGCGAGACCCACAAGUCGAGCAGGGACGAAAGUCGGGCUUAGUGAUCCGGCGGUGCUGAAUGGAAAGGCCGUCGCUCAACGGAUAAAAGCUACCCUGGGGAUAACAG